rnacentral:rRNA from 1 species
AGAGUUUGAUCCUGGCUCAGGAUGAACGCUGGCGGCGUGCUUAACACAUGCAAGUCGAGCGAAGCGGCUGAAUUGAUUCUUCGGAUGAUUUUCAGUUGACUGAGCGGCGGUCGGGUGAGUAACGCGUGGGUGACCUGCCCCAUACCGGGGGAUAACAGCUGGAAACGGCUGCUAAUACCGCAUAAGCGCACAGAGCUGCAUGGCUCCGUGUGAAAAACUCCGGUGGUAUGGGAUGGGCCCGCGUCUGAUUAGGCAGUUGGCGGGGUAACGGCCCACCAAACCGACGAUCAGUAGCCGGUCUGAGAGGGCGACCGGCCACAUUGGGACUGAGACACGGCCCAAACUCCUACGGGAGGCAGCAGUGGGGAAUAUUGCACAAUGGGGGAAACCCUGAUGCAGCGACGCCGCGUGAGCGAAGAAGUAUUUCGGUAUGUAAAGCUCUAUCAGCAGGGAAGAUAAUGACGGUACCUGACUAAGAAGCCCCGGCUAACUACGUGCCAGCAGCCGCGGUAAUACGUAGGGGGCAAGCGUUAUCCGGAUUUACUGGGUGUAAAGGGAGCGUAGACGGCAAGGCAAGUCUGAUGUGAAAACCCAGGGCUUAACCCUGGGACUGCAUUGGAAACUGUCUGGCUCGAGUGCCGGAGAGGUAAGCGGAAUUCCUAGUGUAGCGGUGAAAUGCGUAGAUAUAUGGAGGAACACCGGUGGCGAAGGCGGCUACCUAGACAGAGACUGACGCUGAGGAGCGAAAGCGUGGGGAGCAAACAGGAUUAGAUACCCUGGUAGUCCACGCCGUAAACGAUGGAUACUAGGUGUGGGAGGUAUUGACCCCUUCCGUGCCGCAGUUAACACAUUAAGUAUCCCACCUGGGGAGUACGACCGCAAGGUUGAAACUCAAAGGAAUUGACGGGGGCCCGCACAAGCAGUGGAGUAUGUGGUUUAAUUCGAAGCAACGCGAAGAACCUUACCUGGUCUUGACAUCCCGAUGACCGGUCUAGAGAUAGACUUUUCUCUUCGGAGACAUCGGUGACAGGUGGUGCAUGGUUGUCGUCAGCUCGUGUCGUGAGAUGUUGGGUUAAGUCCCGCAACGAGCGCAACCCCUAUCUUUAGUAGCCAGCAUUUAAGGUGGGCACUCUAGAGAGACUGCCAGGGAUAACCUGGAGGAAGGUGGGGACGACGUCAAAUCAUCAUGCCCCUUAUGACCAGGGCUACACACGUGCUACAAUGGCGUAAACAAAGGGAAGCGAGCCCGCGAGGGGGAGCAAAUCCCAAAAAUAACGUCUCAGUUCGGAUUGUAGUCUGCAACUCGACUACAUGAAGCUGGAAUCGCUAGUAAUCGCGAAUCAGAAUGUCGCGGUGAAUACGUUCCCGGGUCUUGUACACACCGCCCGUCA